GUCUUUUUGAUUAUAAUUUAAAGUCUGACCUGCCCAAUGAGUAUUUGAAUGGCCGCGGUAAUUUGACCGUGCAAAGGUAGCAUAAUCAUUAGUUUUUUAAUUGAAAGCUGGAAUGAACGGUUGGACGAGAAAAUAACUGUCUCAAUUUAAUUGGAUAUAGAAUUUUAUUUAUAAGUAAAAAAGCUUAUAUAAUUUUAAAAGACGAGAAGACCCUAUAGAGUUUUAUAUUUUAUUAUAUUGGUUAAGUUUAGUAUGUUUACAUUUUUAAUAUAAUAAAAUAUUUUGCUGGGGCAGCAGAAAAAUUUAAUUAACUUUUUUUAUUUAAUUUACAUUGAUUUAUGAGUGUAUGAUCCAUUUUUUAUGAUUAAAAGACUAAAUUACCAUAGGGA
rnacentral:rRNA from 1 species